GAUGCCGAUCAUACCAGCACUAAAGCACCGGAUCCCAUCAGAACUCCGAAGUUAAGCGUGCUUGGGCGAGAGUAGUACUAGGAUAGGUGACCUCCGAAGUUAAGCGUGCUUGGGCGAGA
rnacentral:rRNA from 1 species